GUUGAGACACAUAAUGGAUGUAUUGUUAAGAGUUGACAGUUUAAACUCUAAGUCAUCCUAGCAUCAAGGGUCAAAGAAAUGAAUUAUAUGAUAACUAUAUCUAAAUAUGUUCUUGAGUAUUACUUUGCAUACAUUCGACCUAUCCGGACGUUGGGUACUACUACUAGAUGAUUACUCCGAUUGGUACAGAAAUCAGUUUCUGUGCUACCGACUUAGGUUCGAACCUAUGAGGUCAUACACAUUAGAAGUUCCUCUUCGAUCACAUGGCUAAUCAAAA
rnacentral:lncRNA from 1 species